rnacentral:rRNA from 1 species
AGAGUUUGAUCCUGGCUCAGGACGAACGCUGGCGGCGUGCUUAACACAUGCAAGUCGAACGGAAAGGCCUAAGCUUGCUUGGGUACUCGAGUGGCGAACGGGUGAGUAACACGUGAGUGAUCUGCCCUCAACUUCGGGAUAAGCCUGGGAAACUGGGUCUAAUACUGGAUAGGACCAUCCUUUAGUGUGUGAUGGUGGAAAGUUUUUUCGGUUGGGGAUGAGCUCGCGGCCUAUCAGCUUGUUGGUGGGGUAAUGGCCUACCAAGGCGUCGACGGGUAGCCGGCCUGAGAGGGUGUACGGCCACAUUGGGACUGAGACACGGCCCAGACUCCUACGGGAGGCAGCAGUGGGGAAUAUUGCACAAUGGGCGCAAGCCUGAUGCAGCGACGCCGCGUGAGGGAUGACGGCCUUCGGGUUGUAAACCUCUUUCGACAGGGACGAAGCUUUUGUGACGGUACCUGUAUAAGAAGCACCGGCUAACUACGUGCCAGCAGCCGCGGUAAUACGUAGGGUGCGAGCGUUGUCCGGAAUUACUGGGCGUAAAGAGCUCGUAGGUGGUUUGUCGCGUCGUCUGUGAAAUUCCGGGGCUUAACUCCGGGCGUGCAGGCGAUACGGGCAUAACUUGAGUGCUGUAGGGGAGACUGGAAUUCCUGGUGUAGCGGUGAAAUGCGCAGAUAUCAGGAGGAACACCGAUGGCGAAGGCAGGUCUCUGGGCAGUAACUGACGCUGAGGAGCGAAAGCAUGGGGAGCGAACAGGAUUAGAUACCCUGGUAGUCCAUGCCGUAAACGUUGGGCACUAGGUGUGGGGGACAUUCCACGUUUUCCGCGCCGUAGCUAACGCAUUAAGUGCCCCGCCUGGGGAGUACGGCCGCAAGGCUAAAACUCAAAGGAAUUGACGGGGGCCCGCACAAGCGGCGGAGCAUGCGGAUUAAUUCGAUGCAACGCGAAGAACCUUACCAAGGCUUGACAUAUACUGGACCGCAUCAGAGAUGGUGUUUCCCUUCGGGGCUGGUAUACAGGUGGUGCAUGGUUGUCGUCAGCUCGUGUCGUGAGAUGUUGGGUUAAGU